AAAAAACUUAAAGGCUCAUGUGAAUUGGGAGUUUUCAGUGCAUGAAUAAUAGAGCUAUGUAAAGAGCUAUUGUCUCCAAGCAUAGGAAUAUUCUUUCCUUUUUUCCCACAGGCUUAUUAAUUGUGUAGAAGUACUCUGCAAACAAGAGGUGAGUUCAUAACCGAAUAACAUUCCUCCAGUGAUCUAUGAGUUUGUAUCCUUCUUCCAACAAGAACUUCUUGGUUGCCUGUGGAGAGGCAGAAGGGAACCUUCUCUUCUAUGUACCUUCCACUGCUGGAGGAGUUCAGGCACAAACACAUCAAGGCUCUGUUUAAGCACAGUCCUUUUACAUGACUCAUGGUCCCAUUUAAGAUGCUCAGGCUGCUGAAUAAGAACAAUAUUCUCUCAGUGUAAAGUGCUUUGAUAGAAUCCAAAUGGAAUUUCUGUAAGCACACUGUGGGUUUAUUAAGUUACUGGACUUUGAAUUUUACUCUCUGGAGAGUGCAUUAAUUAUGUAAAGUAGACCAAAAUUUAACAAUGCUAAUGGAGCUCAAACUAUUAAAGAAAAAAAACCCUGAGAGGUAUCUUGGGACUCUGGGUUGUUGCUUCUGUACAUUUGAGCUGGCUUUGAAAUGUCAGAAUAAUUCUGUAGUACUCUACAGGUGCUGGGUUGAACAUCACUAGCUCUUGAUAAUUUCAAGAGUGGAUCACAGGAGAUGGACAUUAUUACUGCUUGAAGAAGAGUGGGAUGACAAGCCUGUCUUUCCACUGUGUUGAGUAUGCCUGUGCUUGGUUCUGUCUUUGGUACUGUACGCCAUGUGGAAAACCUGUCCUCAAAUGUGUGGCCAAAUACCACGUAGAUCUUUCUAGGAUUUCCACCUUUUUAAAAGAUGCUGAUAGAAAGGAUUGAUGAAGAUACUAGUUUUCUGGCUAUCAUUUAACAGAGGAUGGUUGUACUGGUAGCUCAAGGACAUGUAGACCUGGACAAGUCUCUCCAGAACUGCCCAGGGAAUGUUUGGUAGAAAGAUGAUCAGAAAUAGUCAGUACCCCAAGCCCUGAGAAGGGUACUAUAGGCAGGCAUUGGACUUCAUCCUACAGCAUGAACAAGCUUGAAUGUAAUGAGUUUUCCACUGGCACAGAAUGAUGAGAAAAUUUGCAGCAACACCUGGAGUUCCAGAACAGAGGUACAGCAGCUGGACCAUGGUUUCUGAAUGGGGAUCUUGUGAAAGACUACAGGCUAAAAAAUUCCCUAGUCUGAGCGUCCACAAACUCUGACAAAACCUGGAUCCUAAAUCUAUGGUUCUGGUUUGUUCCUGAAAGAAUGUACCUAACUGAGCCUGAGGAAGGAAGCUAAACCACUUCCAGAGGAUACUGACACAGAGACAGAGCAUUUGUUUUCACUAAAAAAGGUGGAUAAAUCUGUGGCAGAAUCAUUUUCAAACGUUAAAGGUCAAUCCAGUGAAUUCUUAUUGAAACCUAAAAAGUUUUUGUAGAACUAAUAUCAUAAAAGUCCUGUGGCUGCUGUACCUUAGGAACGGGUUACGGGAAAUAUUCACUUUUGAGCUAGUAUUCAGUCUUUUGAUAGUAAACAGAGGAGAGAGGAAAGUACUUAGUAUUGAGGUUGGCUCAUUUGAUUGAUUUUUAGACACUUGUUUAAGGAUGAAGUGAAUUGAACCUCAAAAGCACUUUUCAUUGUAACAUUUGUACAGAACUAUCACACCACAGAUUGUAAUUGAUAUGGGUUUUGUAUAGUGUAUUCCAUAGUUUAGCCAUUCAUUUGGAACUUUCUGCCUCUCUUUCUCUCUCAACUGAAGAGCUGUUUUCUGAAUAUUGGCUAUGAAAUAAAACACUGCAUAUGAAGAUAUUGGGAAAGAAAAACAAAAUAAAACCUAUUGGAACAGCUCUU
rnacentral:lncRNA from 7 species